rnacentral:misc_RNA from 1 species
GAUGAAGAACGUAGCGAAAUGCGAUAAGUAAUGUGAAUUGCAGAAUUCAGUGAAUCAUCGAAUCUUUGAACGCACAUUGCGCCCGCCAGUAUUCUGGCGGGCAUGCCUGUUCGAGCGUCAUUUCAACCCUCAGGCCCCCAGUGCCUGGUGUUGGGGAUCGGCCCAGCCUUCCUGUAAGGCCGCCGGCCCCGAAAUCUAGUGGCGGUCUCGCUGUAGUCCUCCUCUGCGUAGUAGCACAACCUCGCAGUUGGAACGCGGCGGUGGCCAUGCCGUUAAACACCCCACUUCUGAAAGUUGACCUCGGAUCAGGCAGGAAUACCCGCUGAACUUAAGCAUAUCAAUAAGCGGAGGA